rnacentral:rRNA from 1 species
CGUAUCACUUAAAGCGAUUCAGCGGGUUACGAUUGACGGAGCGAAGCGACGUCAAAGCGUAUACAAAGUCGAGUCGGUUUAAGGAUACGUUCGUUGGGUAGGGGAGCGUUCUGUAAGCCUGUGAAGGUGGCCUGUGAGGGUUGCUGGAGGUAUCAGAAGUGCGAAUGCUGACAUAAGUAACGAUAAAGCGGGUGAAAAGCCCGCUCGCCGGAAGACCAAGGGUUCCUGUCCAACGUUAAUCGGGGCAGGGUGAGUCGACCCCUAAGGCGAGGCCGAAAGGCGUAGUCGAUGGGAAACGGGUUAAUAUUCCCGUACUUGGUGUUACUGCGAAGGGGGGACGGAGAAGGCUAUGUUGGCCGGGCGACGGUUGUCCCGGUUUAAGCGUGUGGGUGUGUGUUCUAGGUAAAUCCGGUUCACUUUAACACUGAGGCGUGAUGACGAGGCACUACGGUGCUGAAGCAACAAAUGCCCUGCUUCCAGGAAAAGCCUCUAAGCAUCAGGUAACAUCAAAUCGUACCCCAAACCGACACAGGUGGUCAGGUAGAGAAUACCAAGGCGCUUGAGAGAACUCGGGUGAAGGAACUAGGCAAAAUGGUGCCGUAACUUCGGGAGAAGGCACGCUGACACGUAGGUGAAGUGAUUUACUCAUGGAGCUGAAGUCAGUCGAAGAUACCAGCUGGCUGCAACUGUUUAUUAAAAACACAGCACUGUGCAAACACGAAAGUGGACGUAUACGGUGUGACGCCUGCCCGGUGCCGGAAGGUUAAUUGAUGGGGUCAGCGCAAGCGAAGCUCCUGAUCGAAGCCCCGGUAAACGGCGGCCGUAACUAUAACGGUCCUAAGGUAGCGAAAUUCCUUGUCGGGUAAGUUCCGACCUGCACGAAUGGCGUAAUGAUGGCCAGGCUGUCUCCACCCGAGACUCAGUGAAAUUGAACUCGCUGUGAAGAUGCAGUGUACCCGCGGCAAGACGGAAAGACCCCGUGAACCUUUACUAUAGCUUGACACUGAACAUUGAGCCUUGAUGUGUAGGAUAGGUGGGAGGCUUUGAAGUGUGGACGCCAGUCUGCAUGGAGCCGACCUUGAAAUACCACCCUUUAAUGUUUGAUGUUCUAACGUGGACCCGUAAUCCGGGUUGCGGACAGUGUCUGGUGGGUAGUUUGACUGGGGCGGUCUCCUCCUAAAGAGUAACGGAGGAGCACGAAGGUUGGCUAAUCCUGGUCGGACAUCAGGAGGUUAGUGCAAUGGCAUAAGCCAGCUUGACUGCGAGCGUGACGGCGCGAGCAGGUGCGAAAGCAGGUCAUAGUGAUCCGGUGGUUCUGAAUGGAAGGGCCAUCGCUCAACGGAUAAAAGGUACUCCGGGGAUAACAGGCUGAUACCGCCCAAGAGUUCAUAUCGACGGCGGUGUUUGGCACCUCGAUGUCGGCUCAUCACAUCCUGGGGCUGAAGUAGGUCCCAAGGGUAUGGCUGUUCGCCAUUUAAAGUGGUACGCGAGCUGGGUUUAGAACGUCGUGAGACAGUUCGGUCCCUAUCUGCCGUGGGCGCUGGAGAACUGAGGGGGGCUGCUCCUAGUACGAGAGGACCGGAGUGGACGCAUCACUGGUGUUCGGGUUGUCAUGCCAAUGGCACUGCCCGGUAGCUAAAUGCGGAAGAGAUAAGUGCUGAAAGCAUCUAAGCACGAAACUUGCCCCGA